ACACUUCGUGAAGUGACGACUUUCAUUCAGUCGCUUCCCCCCAUGCUGGUGUUCUUAUGUGAAACAAGGCAACAAAAACGUAAGAUGAAAAAAAAAUUCAAAACUCGGAUUGGAUUAAAAGGUUUUGAGGGAGUAGACAGUAUUGGAAAUAGUGGUGGAUUGGCUCUUUAUUGGCAUGAACCCCUCAAAGUGAAGGUGGUGUUCUCAAACCAGAGAUGUAUCGAUGCACAUGUUAGUUUGGGUGUCGAUGAGAUUAUGUGGAGGUUGACUUGUGUCUAUGGAGAACCAAGGGCUGAGGAUAGACAUAACAUGUGGACUUUGCUUAAUAAUCUGAGCUCCCAGUCUAAUCUACCCUAG
rnacentral:rRNA from 1 species